rnacentral:rRNA from 1 species
UACGAAGGGGGCUAGCGUUGUUCGGAAUUACUGGGCGUAAAGCGCGCGCAGGCGGUCCUUUAAGUUAGGGGUGAAAUCCCAGGGCUCAACCCUGGAACUGCCUUUAAUACUGGGUAUCUCGAGUCCGAGAGAGGUGAGUGGAAUUCCGAGUGUAGAGGUGAAAUUCGUAGAUAUUCGGAGGAACACCAGUGGCGAAGGCGGCUCACUGGCUCGGUACUGACGCUGAGGUGCGAAAGCGUGGGGAGCAAACAGG